rnacentral:rRNA from 1 species
UACGUAGGGUGCAAGCGUUUAAUCGGAAUUACUGGGCGUAAAGCGUGCGCAGGCGGUUUUGUAAGUCUGACGUGAAAUCCCCGGGCUCAACCUGGGAAUUGCGUUGGAGACUGCAAGGCUAGAAUCUGGCAGAGGGGGGUAGAAUUCCACGUGUAGCAGUGAAAUGCGUAGAGAUGUGGAGGAACACCGAUGGCGAAGGCAGCCCCCUGGGUCAAGAUUGACGCUCAUGCACGAAAGCGUGGGGAGCAAACGAGG